GGCCCCCAAACGUGGCACAUGUGUGAAGAAUAACUAAGCUCACCCCUUGCCUAGCUCUGCAGCCACGUUUUUCAGGACUGAAGCUCACAGGACCUGCCGUGCAGGACAAGAAGGUCUUGGGCCCCACCCGUGCACAGUACAAGAAAGUGUUGGAAAGUCCUCCCGGGUCAGUAAGCCUGGACGUGGCAGUUUGGUGUGUACUGAGUUCGCUUCCAUCUGGCCGCUGCACAUUGGGCAGGAAAAGGAGGGGCGGUGACUCAGUCACGGACAUAGCAGUGUUGAGAGAUUGAACCCAGGGCUUCGUGCAUCCUAGGCAAGUGAGUGCUCUGCUGCUAAGAUACAUCCCCAGCC
rnacentral:lncRNA from 1 species